CCAGGCUCCCCUAAGUCUGGAAAGAGGCAGAAGAUGCAGGUGGCGAUGUCCCCCCAACAGCCGGGUCUUCGGUACCACAGGGCCCAGAAAACACCAGGGUUCACGAAGAACUCGGGCUGGCCCUGGGAAUGCCCCUUGUCCACGACCGAGGCCUUGAGUCCUAACCAGGUGGUCCGGACUAGAUUCUGAUGAUGCCCCCAAGCUUGCCGCCGUGCUCCCUCCCCCAUUCCUGGAUCUCUUCACACGGGCAUACCUUCUUACUCUAGGAAUCCCUGCUGCCUCGCUUCUUCCUUCGGAAGAAAGUGUACCUUUCCACUGUCCUACUCUAGGCCCGGGCUCACCCAGCCAAGCCCCAGAGUCAGCCAGCCAUGAAGUCAAACUUGCCUCCUUGAGUUAGGAGGUCCAGAUCGCCUCGCUUGUCGCCCAUGUCUUCGGCAUUUGGGUCUGAGGUCGUGAGUCCUUUCCUAGCUCUUUGCUUGGACUCAGUGUGCUGGGAAUGGCCAGGGGCCCCGUCGCUACUCUUUCCCCACCAUUAUAGCUACCGUCUGGUUUCCAGCUUGGGAGACGUGCAGAGGCGGUCGUCGCCCUCCCCUCCCCUCUUCAUUUUAAAGUCCUGCCGAUUAGAUUUGCUUAGGAAAAUCUAUUCUUACCAGCCCCUUUUAUGGGCACUCCACCCCUGGCCAAGAGCCUGGCAUCUUAAGGCGCAGGGCAGAGAUUCCAAUCACUUUUUCCAGAGCCGUAUUCUGGACCGGCUAUUUUCAAUCCCCAGAGCGGUCGUUCUCUUUGGAAGCCGCUGCCUUCAAUUGGCUCCACUGAUGAAAAUACCACCUGGGCAUCGGGAGGCUAAGGUUUCUUGCCAAAAGCUCUGCAGUCUUUAGCGACGCUUUCUAGAUUCCUUCUGGUAGUAUCAUUUGGGCCUGCUCCAGUGAGCAGUCAUCUGCUCUGACAGUUCUUGGAAGGUUCUCUCCGUCACGUCCCUGAUCCACCCUAGGAAGACAAACUUCUCUCCCGUUGCUCCCAAGUCAACAAAAAGCUGCCUCGGAACUCCCCGGCAUGCAAUCGCUAACCGCCCCUACUCGCUCGUCUCUUUUAGCUCUGGCCACGUCCCGAAGUCCACCUGUGCAAGUCAUUUCCCUGCUCGGCCAGUGCCCAAGGUUUUCUUAAAGGCUCACUAAGUGCCAAAUCCUGGGACGGGGCUGAAGGUGCAAAGACAGAAACCAAAAUAAAAGCCCACAGCAGUCCCUGCUUUCAAGGAGUUCCCAUUCUACGUGGGGGAGACAGCAGACGGGUAACGAGGUAAAGCCAAGAGAGAUCCAGAGUCACUGAAGGGAAUCUGAGAAGGGAAGGCCCUAGCAGUGGGGAGUCAGGGGGACUAGGAAAGGCUGCUAGUGGAAAGUGAGACUUGAGUCCAGGCUCAAAACAGAGGGGCAGAUGGGAAGAAAGAGAACACUGCAGGCACGGCACGCAGGCGGUCCAAAAGGAAAGAGGCAGGAGAUGCAGGCUUGUGUGCUGGGCCCAGCCAGGAGACUAUGGUCACUGAACCGUGUAAAAAGAAUGAAAAGGUAGGAAGGGGUGAGGUUGUCAAACAGGACUUUGGAGUUGCUCCUGGAGGCAAUAGGGAGCCAUUGCAGUUUACCUAGUAUAGGUGACAGAGCCAGAGCUGACCUUUCGGAAGAUGGACCGGAGCCAGCAGAGCCUGGAGGCAGGCAGCCCACUUACAGUAGGCUCUUCUAAGUAGUGUGGGUGUGAGGGGACGAGGGCCUGCACCAGUGAGAUGGCAUUGGCAGAGGAGAGGAAGGGGGAUACUCCAGAGAUUUGACAAUGGACUGAAUACGCGAAGUGAGUGAGAGAGAGAAAUCGAGGAUGAUACCCAGGAUGUAAACCUGGGCAACUGAGGAAUGUCAGGGGGAAAAAGGAAACCCUCCCUUGAAGAAGUGGCCCUUCUCUUUGCCAAGGCUAGCCCUCCUCAUGCCUGAAUGAUCCCAUUCCGGUCUACCUUCUCUAGCACAUUGCCUCUCUUCUCGCCUUUCCUACUAUUUCACUUGGCAAUUUCAUCAUUAAAUUGGAAGCGUCGAUUUGAUAAACAUUACUAAACAAUUCCCCCAAAACGUGCACAAACUUCAGGAUAAAUGGCGAGAAAUACAGAUGAACAUUAAAUAGG